AACACGACCAUGAGAUACCACCUCACACCAGUCAGAAUGGCCAUCAUUUAGAAGCCCACAAAUAGCAAGUGCUGGAGGGGGUGUGGAGAAAAGGGACCCCUCCUGCACUGCUGGUGGGAAUGGAAGCUGGUACAACCACUAGGGAAUACAGUAUGAGGUGCCUUAGAAAACUAUACAUAGAACAACCAUGUGACCCAGCAGUCCCCCUCUUGGGCAUAUAUCUGGACAAAACGGUCCUUGAAAAAGACACAUGCACCCGCAUGUUCAUUGCAGCUCUAUUCCCAAUAGCCAAGACAUGCAAACAACCCAAAUGUCCAUCAACACAUGAUUGGAUUAGGAAGAUGUGGUAUAUAUAUGCAAUGGAAUACUAUUCAGCCAUGACAAUGAACAAAACGAUGCCAUUUGCAGCAACAUGGAUGAACUAGAGACUCUCAUCCUGAGUGAAGUCAGAAGGACAAAUAGCAUAUGAUGUCACAUAUCUGAUAUCUAAUAUGUGGCACAAUUGGAACUUUCCACAGACAAUAAAAUCGUGGACUUGGAGAACAGACUUGUGGUUGCCCAGUGAGGUGUUUGGGGAGCUUGGGAUACUUGGAUGCAAACUAUUGCCUUUGGAAUGGAUGAGCAAUGAAGUCCUGCUGUGGAGCACUGAGAACUAUGUCUCGUCACUUAUGACGGAGCCUGAGCAUGAGAGAAAUGAGAACGGGUACAUGUAUGUGUAACUGGGUCACCGUGCUGUACAGUAGAAAAGAUAUUCUACUGGGAAAAAUAUGUUUUUUUUAAAUCCUAAGAGCUCUUAUCACAAGGAAAAAUUUUUUCUCCUCUUUCUGUUUCUACAGGAGAUGACGGACCUUUACUACAUUUAGUGUGGAUGUCAUUUCGGGAGGAAAGUCACUUCACUCUGCUGGACAUCUCAGGGAAAGCAGACGAAAAGUUAGUUAAACCUAAUCGCAUAAUCAAACAUUAAAAUCUCAAAACUUUAUCAUUCAAUCUAAAACCAUCAAUCUUAUAUUUGUUUAGAGGGUUUUUUUUCAGGUGUUCAUUUUUGGAUUUAGUUUUUGUUUUUUGCCUGUGGCACGCAGAGGACUGACGUGGGAUCUCCAUUCCCAGGCCAGGGAUUGAAUAUGGACCACAGAUGUGAAAGUACCGAGUCUGAACCCCUAGGCCACCAGGGAACUCCCUUCUGGACGCACUCUUCCUGGAAAAUUAACAGCUUCUACCUUUCCAUCCAAUUAGCCAGGAAGAACUGCAGAAAUGAAAGCCGUUUCUGGCUUGUUGUUAUAUUCUAGCCUUUGGGACAACGACCAUACAUACACAUCACCAAGUAGGGAGAAAAAAGUGUGUCCACGUCAGAACACGAGAGACGGUGCAUCUGGUGGUACAGGACGAAACCUCAUGAGAUGAAGUCUGGAUCCAAGAGGGACAGACAAAUGGGAGGCCCUGAGCUGUGGCCACAAGCAGCCGGGAGGAGGAGCAAGGUUUCCGGGAGAAAGAAACCCCAAGGCUGAGGCUGACAUCCAUCUAGAUUGUUCUCUGAGGGUGCUGUCGAAACUCAGCCUCCCUCUACCAUGGAGGUGGAGUUUUGGGUGAAGGAGGAAAAAAAUAACUUAAAUUGCUUUGCCGGGCAAAGGGUGUCACAGCAGGCUGCUGCCCUUAAGACUGGGUCCCCCUUUGGGAGAAAUGAGGAGUGGGUGGGUUUACAGUUUGGGGAGUAGAAAAUACGGCCACAGAGAAGGAUGAGAGAGGGUGUAAGCUUGCACUCUUCUCCAGAGCUGGUGUUUGGUGGCCCUGGGCGUCCUCCUCUCUGGCUGUCAUUGGUUGGGGGUUUAGUUCUGCACAAGAGCUCAAAGACCUCACUGAGUGUAUCACCUGAGGGACAAGGUCCUGCCCCCAGGCGGCACUGAGGUCCCCUGAAGGCCCCUCCCUGGUCUAUGCACCCCCUCCCUUCCCUGAUCAGUACCUGCCCACACCUGCCUUUGGCUCAGGGAAAGGCCUGGAGGAUGAAGCUUACUUCCUACAAACAAGGCAUGGAGGGGGGCACAGACAGCCAGGCCCUCAGGAAGCAGACACUGUGUCAAGCACAGGCCAGUUCCAUCAUCUGGGUUCUUCACCAAGUCUCACCCCCACCCCUUUGGGAUCAGACGCAGAAAUGCAGAGAGGCAGACAAAUGCGCCACUGGGUCAAGUCCCAACAUGAGAGACUCCAGGUCCUAACUACAGACACUAGAGAUGGUGACAGAGGUGGAAACAUCGGGAAGGACGGACGAGAAGAGCAGGAAGGGAAAUGUGAUGACGAAGAAGGUACAGAGGUGGCCCCAUUUCACGGAGCACCCCCCCCCCAAGAAAAUUAGGAAACGAUAACUAGAAUAGGAUGGGUUUAUUUUCACUUUGAAUGCACUACCAUUAAUUCCACCAAGAAAGGGAAAACUGACCCCAUGAUCCAGUAACCCCACACCUGGACACACAUCCAGAAAAUGCACAGUCUAAAUCCAAAAGAUCCAUGCACCCCCAUGUUCAUGGCAGAAAUAUUCCCAAGAGCCAAGACCCGGAAACAACCUAAAUGUCCACGACAGGGGACUGGAUGAGAAGAUGUGGUGCAUAUGCACAGUGGAAGCCCACUCAGCCAUGACAAAGAGUGAAACUCUGCCAUUUGCAGCAACAGGGAUGGACGAGCAGGGCAUAAUGUUAUGACAGGAGUCAGCCAGAGAAAGACCAAUACUGUACCACAGCACUGAGAUAUAGAAUGUAAAAAACACAACAGAUGAGUGAGUAUGACCCAAAAGCACCAGACUCACAGACACAGAAAAUUAGGAGUAACCCAUUGGGGGGGUGGGGGAAAUAGGGGGAAGGGAGUGAGAGGUACAAACUGCUGUGUUUAAAAUAUACAUGUUGCAAAGGGGAUCCUGUACAGCUCAGGAAAUAGAGCCAGUAUUUUACAAGAAACGUAAAUGGAACGUAACGUCCAACAAGAAAAAGGCCCAUCUUCCCAGGCUCUGCACAGCCGUGCUGGCCGGGGCUAGAAGCUGGUUCUGCAGCACAGCUCCAACCUCCUUCCACACCCAUGUGUACUCACUGCUCCAGGGUCGCCAGGACCCAGGGCACCACAUGACCAAGGCGGGGACCCUCAAACCUGCUGUGGUGGGGGGGGGCUCUGGGGCUGUUCCCUCUCCCUUUUCCAGAUUCUGCUGCUGUCCCACAGUAGCUCACGUCUCUUCCCAGCCCCAUUAUUCACUGACCCAAAGGCUCUUCCUUCAUCCCAAACAGGCUCACAAAACCAAACCCCAUGCCAUUCCCUCAGGCUUGGUGCCCAGACCAUUACUCACUCAAAGACAUCCCCAAACUCCUCAGGCACCUCUGCCAGACCCCUGAGGGAUGUAGGAUGGUGUAUCAGGGCCUGCAGAGCAGCUGAACCAAUACCAUGUUUGGAAGGAGAGGGAGACACAGACUCAUUUUAAGGAAUCGUCUCAUGCAGUUGUGAAGGAUGGCAGGUCCGGAGGUUGCAGGCAGCCUGGCAAGCUGGAGGCCCAGGGAACAGGCGAUGCUGUAGCUUGAAGCUGCCAUCUAUCUGGAGGCAGGAUUUCCCCUACUUCGGGGACCUCAGUUUUUUCCUCUAAAGGUCCUCAACUGAUUAGGCAUGGAGCACCCACAUAUGACACCUUUCAUUGUUUAUUCUAUUUUGUUUGCUUUUUAGGGUCACAACCUCAGCAUGUGGAUGUUCCUGGGCCUGGGGUCAAAUCAGAGCUGCAGCUGCCAGCCUACACCACAGCCAGCGCCAACACAGGGUCUGAGCCAUACCUGCAAACUAUACCUGACUUUUCGGCAAUGCUGGUUCCUUAAACCCUCAUGGAAGCCAGGGAUUGACCUUGCAUCUUCACAGUCACUGUGUCACGUUCUUAAACCACCGGGCCACAACCCCUGAGCCACAAAGGAACUCCUAUUUUUAGACUCUGCAUAUGGGUGAGAAUCACAGGAUGAGUCAUUCUCUGCCUUACUUCACCCAACAGCACACCCUCCAGGUGCUGGUUGGAUGGAGUGAGCUGAGAGGGUCACCAUCUCUCUCUCCAGGAAGCCCACAGGGUCCCCAAGUCCCCCCCAACCAAAGAACUCAGGAAAUACCUGACGUACCUGUUGCUCAUCAAGGGGGGAACAGCCAGAGGUGAGGGGAGGGUGGGAGAGGGUCCCACAUGCAGGAGCUUCUGUGUCCUUGGACUUGGCGCAUCUGCACCCUCUCAGCCGUGGGCUCCCCAACCCGAAAUCUCUGAGACCCCUUUUUUGGGAGGUUCCAGUAGGCCUAAUUAAAGGUUGACCCCUCAGCAAGCCUCAAAGUUGGGGGUGGAGCUAAAAAACCCAACCCUUUCAUCACCAAGGUGGUUCCUCUGGUACCAGCCCCACCUCAUUAACAAACAGGUGAGCCUGGGUUUCUCAGGAAAAACUAAAGAUGCUCUGCUCACAGGGAUCAAGAACUUGCUAUGGUUUUAGGAGCUGUCUGUGUGCCAGGGACCAGGUCCUCCUGGAUGAGGAGGGGCCCUCAACCUACUAACAAGUAUCCUUACAACAGAGAAGACACAGAGGAGCAGCCACGGGAAGGGUCUGGGAGGAUGUCCUCCAGGAUGAGGGGGCCCUCCCUCCAAGGACUGUGUCCUCCUAAAGAGAGAAGUGGAAAACCGGACACAGAGGAGAAGCCAUGGGAAGAUGGAUGCAGAGAUGGGAGAAAGGCGGCCACCUGGCACCCCCAGAAGCUGCAAGAGGCAGGAAGGACCCUCCCCUGGAGCCUCUGCAGGGAACACAGGGGAUUUAUGAGGCCUGCACCCCAAAAUGUUGCCCCAAAGCAGAGCCUCAAGAAAUAGACACACACACAAUGGAGUAUCAGCCAUAAAAAAGUGAAAUAAUGGCAUUUGCAGCAACACAGUUGGACCUAGAGAUUCCCAUACUGACUGAAGGCAGAUACAGGAAGACAAAUACCAUCGGAGAUCACUUAUAUCUGGACCUUAAAACAUGGCCCAAAUGAACUUGUCUACACAACAGAAACCAGCUCAGAGUCAUGGAGCACGAUUUGUGGUUGACAAGGGGGAGGGAGUGGGUGGGGAGUAGUUUGGGGUCAGUAGCUGCCAACUGUGACAUUGAGAAUGGAGAAGCAGGAGUUCCCUUCAUGAGUCAGUGGAAACGAAUCUGACGGGGAACCAUGAGGUUGCAGGUUCAAUCCCUGGCCU
rnacentral:lncRNA from 1 species